rnacentral:lncRNA from 1 species
UGAUUUCCCCAUCGUUUUGAGCUCUCUCCUCCUCCCCCAAGCUUCAAAACUCCAAUACAUUUGGGGGAAAACUAUUCCAUGGAUCUAUGGUUCAUUUGUUCACCUCCUCCAUUGUUCCUCUCCGCUUCAAUCCCUCCAAAGAAUUAGUUUCUUUUGGUGGGAUUUGAGAGAGAGGGAUUUUAGAAUUCUUGUGGUAAAUUCCGAAUAAAUUUAUGAGAGUUCUCGAGAGAUAUUUCAUCCAAGCAUACAUCCACUCUUGCUCUCUAUUUUGACAAAAGAAAUUUGUGAUUUGAGAAAGUCUUGACUAUUUCCCCUUUGAUAUUGUUACUUUUGGAGGUUGGAUACUCCAACAUGGUAGGAGUGCUUCGGUGAGGAAUCAACUUGUGGUUUGUCCCCCAAAUUUUUUUGAAGGUUUGGAGCCCGCCUCCAGGUCUACCACUAGUGGUUGGGAAUCGCCUUCGUGGUAAUAUCUCGAAGAGAAUAGGGUGAGCCUUCAUGGCCUUGGUGUAUCUUUGUGGUAACAUGCACCUCUCAAAAGGUGACUAGCUUCCCUCAAAGGAAGUGAACAUUCGGAUACAUCCUUGUCUCCGUGACUUUGGUUAUCCCGAACCCUAACUCCUCACUUGUGGUUUACUUUGGCUACUUGAGCAUACAUUCAAUAUAUAUAUUAUCAUCCUCAUUAUCUUGAGUUGUAUAUUUCCUUGUAAAGAUUAAUUAUAUAGGCCUACACUUGAUAUCUCGC